UGGAGGGUCAUUGGAAACUGGGAGACUUGAGUGCAGGAGAGAAAAGUGGAAUUCCACGUGUAGCGGUGAAAUGCGUAGAGAUGUGGAGGAACACCAGUGGCGAAGGCGGCUUUUUGGCCUGUAACUGACGCUGAGGCGCGAAAGCGUGGGGAGCAAACAGGAUUAGAUACCCUGGUAGUCCACGCCGUAAACGAUGAGUGCUAGGUGUUGGGGGGUUCCACCCUCAGUGCUGAAGUUAACACAUUAAGCACUCCGCCUGGGGAGUACGACCGCAAGGUUGAAACUCAAAGGAAUUGACGGGGGCCCGCACAAGCAGUGGAGCAUGUGGUUUAAUUCGAAGCAACGCGAAGAACCUUACCAGGUCUUGACAUCCUUUGACCACUCUAGAGAUAGAGCUUUCCCCUUCGGGGGACAAAGUGACAGGUGGUGCAUGGUUGUCGUCAGCUCGUGUCGUGAGAUGUUGGGUUAAGUCCCGCAACGAGCGCAACCCUUGACCUUAGUUGCCAGCAUUCAGUUGGGCACUCUAAGGUGACUGCCGGUGACAAACCGGAGGAAGGUGGGGAUGACGUCAAAUCAUCAUGCCCCUUAUGACCUGGGCUACACACGUGCUACAAUGGAUGAUACAAAGGGUUGCGAAGCCGCGAGGCCAAGCCAAUCCCAAAAAGUCAUUCUCAGUUCGGAUUGUAGGCUGCAACUCGCCUACAUGAAGCCGGAAUUGCUAGUAAUCGCGGAUCAGCAUGCCGCGGUGAAUACGUUCCCGGGCCUUGUACACACCGCCCGUCACACCACGAGAGUUUGUAACACCCGAAGUCGGUGGGGUAACCCUUUGGAGCAGCCGCCAAGUACGGACUUCUGUCA
rnacentral:rRNA from 1 species